rfam:Oryctolagus cuniculus unplaced genomic scaffold chrTn0025, whole genome shotgun sequence.
UCCCUGUUGCACGAAGCAGACAAAAAAUCUGCGCGUCCUGAGGGAAGGCGCACGCGACGUCAACUGCGGUUGCGCGAACUCGAGGCGUGCACGCCCGUCUGCUUCCUUGUGCUCCUCCCUCCAGCCUCGGUCCCUCGGGGCGUCUGUGCAACCUACGCUUUCCG